rnacentral:miRNA from 1 species
CGCCCACCUCGGCCUCCCAAAGUGCUGGGAUUACAGGCAUGAGCCACUGCGCCCGGCCUGUCCUGGCUCUUAUCUGAAGCCAGUCUCUCCACUUG